ACAACUGUUUUUACUGUGACAGAGAAAUAUGAACCUGUUCAUGCAAAGUGGAUAACAGAACGAUGUGCUAUAUGUAGAUGGGUUGAGGAUUGGGACUAUAACAAUAUUGUUAUUUGCAACAGUUACGAUAUCCUUUAAAUCAUUCAAGAGGAUAAAGGUUCAGGAUUAUGGGGGGUCAAUAAAGAGGUGGUCCCUAAGAAGAAAAAUAUUAACGAUGCAGGAAGCCAACUUGCACCCCCAUUAGGAGAAUUGAUGAAGAUGCUCUUUAAUGCAUACAGUUGGUGUCUUCAGAAAGAAAGGUACCAAACUAUAUGAAGCAAGCUUGAAGGAUGAGAAGCGUUUAGAUCAAUGGCUUCAUUGUUAAAUUAAGCAAGUGUUUUAGUAAAUAAAUUUAAUUUUCCCAUCAUGUUUACACCUUCAAAAUAUUCUGUAAAUGACAUUUGAUGUAGGAUUUUUU